rnacentral:misc_RNA from 1 species
AACCUAGCACACCUGCGGUGUGUACCUGCGGAAGGAUCAUUACCGAGUUUACAAACUCCCAACCCUUUGUGAACCUUACCAUAUUGUUGCUUCGGCGGGACCGCCCCGGCGCCUUCGGGCCCGGAACCAGGCGCCCGCCGGAGGCCCCAAACUCUUAUGUCUUUAGUGGUUUUCUCCUCUGAGUGACACAUAAACAAAUAAAUAAAAACUUUUAGCAAUGGAUCUCAGAUCGGAAGAGCA